UACAGAGGGUGCAAGCGUUAAUCGGAAUUAUUGGGCGUAAAGCGUGCGUAGACGGUUACAUAAGUCGGGUGUGAAAGCCCCGGGCUCAACCUGGGAAUUGCAUUCGAGACUGUGUAGCUAGGGUACGGAAGAGGGAAGCGGAAUUUCUGGUGUAGCGGUGAAAUGCGUAGAUAUCAGAAGGAACAUCAGUGGCGAAAGCGGCUUCCUGGUCCAGUACCGACGUUCAGGCACGAAAGCGUGGGGAGCAAACAGG
rnacentral:rRNA from 1 species